AUGAACGUUGGCGGCGUGGAUUAGGCAUGCAAGUCGCGCGGGAGUAAGCAAUACUCUAGCGGCGUAAGGGACAGGAAUACGUAGACUACCUACCUCCUGGAUCGGGAUAGCCAGCCGAAAGGCUGGGUAAUACCGGAUAAAGUCUCCGGACCCAACCUGUGAAUCGGCCGGGAGAUGGGUCUACGUCCUAUUAGCUUGUUGGCGGGGGUAACGGCCCACCAAGGCAAUGAUGGGUAGCAGGUGUGAGAGCACGACCUGCGUCACUGGGACUGAGACACUGCCCAGACACCUACGGGUGGCUGCAGUCGAGGAUCUUCGGCAAUGGGCGCAAGCCUGACCGAGCGACGCCGCGUGUGGGAUGAAGGCCUUCGGGUUGUAAACCACUGUCAGUGGGGAGAAAAUUCGGGUGGGUACUCCCAUCCGUUUGAUCUAUCCGCAGAGGAAGCAAGGGCUAAGUUCGUGCCAGCAGCCGCGGUAAGACGAACCUUGCUAACGUUAUUCGGAAUCACUGGGCUAUAAAGGGUGCGUAGGCGGUGCAGUAAGUUGGGUGUGAAAUCCCUCGGCUUAACCGAGGAACUGCGCCCAAAACUACUGUGCUUGAGGGAGAUAGAGGUGAGCGGAACUGAGGGUGGAGCGGUGAAAUGCGUUGAUAUCCUCAGGAACACCCGUGGCGAAAGCGGCUCACUGGGUCUCUCUGACGCUGAGGCACGAAAGCUAGGGGAGCAAACGGGAUUAGAUACCCCGGUAGUCCCUAGCUGUAAACUCUGAGCACUGAAUUGGAGGGCCCUCCAUAGCCCUCCAGUUGUAGCGAAAGUGUUAAGUGCUCGCCUGGGGAGUAUGGUCGCAAGGCUGAAACUCAAAGAAAUUGACGGGGGCUCACACAAGCGGUGGAGGAUGUGGCUUAAUUCGAGGCUACGCGAAGAACCUUAUCCUAGUCUUGACAUGCACGGAUUAACUCGUGGAAGCCGAGCCAGGCCUUCGGGUACAACGUGCACAGGUGCUGCAUGGCUGUCGUCAGCUCGUGUCGUGAGAUGUCGGGUUAAGUCCCUUAACGAGCGAAACCCUUGUCCUUAGUUGCCAGCGCGUCAUGGCGGGGACUCUAAGGAGACUGCCGGCGUUAAGCCGGAGGAAGGUGGGGAUGACGUCAAGCCCUCAUGGCCUUUAUGACUAGGGCUGCACACGUCCUACAAUGGCCUGCACAAAGGGAAGCCAGCUCGCGAGAGUUAGCUCAAAUCCCAAAAAACAGGCCCCAGUUCGGAUUGCAGGCUGCAACUCGCCUGCAUGAAGCCGGAAUCGCUAGUAAUCGCGGUCAGCAUACCGCGGUGAAUGUGUUCCUGAGCCUUGUACACACCGCCCGUCAAGCCACGAAAGUGGGGGGCAUCCGAUAGCGCCGAUGUAAACCGCAAGGAGCUAAGCGCCUAAGAUGAACUCCGCGAUUGGGACU
rnacentral:rRNA from 1 species